rnacentral:rRNA from 1 species
AUUGAACGCUGGCGGCAUGCCUUACACAUGCAAGUCGAACGGCAGCACAGGCGAGCUUGCUCUCUGGGUGGCGAGUGGCGGACGGGUGAGGAGUACAUCGGAAUGUACUUUUUCGUGGGGGAUGACGUAGGGAAACUUACGCUAAUACCGCAUACGCCCUACGGCUGAAAGCAGGGGAUCUUCGGACUUUGCGCGAUGGGAUGAGCCGGUGUCGGAUUAGCUAGUUGGUGGGGUAAAGGCCCACCAAGGCGACGAUCCGUAGCUGGUCUGAGAGGGUGAUCAGCCACACUGGAACUGAGACACGGUCCAGACUCCUACGGGAGGCAGCAGUGGGGAAUAUUGGACAAUGGGCGCAAGCCUGAUCCAGCCAUACCGCGUGGGUGAAGAAGGCCUUCGGGUUGUAAAGCCCUGUUGUUGGGAAAGAAAUCCAGCUGGUUAAUACCCGGUUGGGAUGACGGUACCCAAAGAAUAAGCACCGGCUAACUUCGUGCCAGCCGCCGCCGUAA